rnacentral:lncRNA from 1 species
GCCGCCGAUGAGCGGACCGACCCAGUAGACCCAGUGGUCGCUCCAGGACCAGCUCACCAGCGCCGGCCCGAAGGACACCGCCGGGUUCAUCGACGCCCCGUCGAAGGCCCCACCGGCGAGGAUGUUGGCUCCCACGAUGAAACCGAUCGCAAUCGGUGCAAUCGUCCCGAGGUUGCCCCUCUUGGGGUCCACGGCGGUGGCGUACACGGUGUAGACUAGGCCGAAGGUCAUGACGAUCUCGAGGACGAGCGCCUCCCAGACGCUGACGCCGGUGAGGCCGAAGGUGCCGGUGGAGAGGCCGCCGGUGGAGAAGCGAAGGAGGAAGCAGGCAAUAGUGGAGCCGAGGAGCUGAGCGAACCAGUAGAGAAUCCCUCUGAGAAGAG